UGCAAAAGUGUAGUGCAGUUAACUUUUCGUGACAAAAACUGGAGAAAAACGUCGAAAACUGGCCUUGUUCUCGACGAUAUGUUGCAGUUCUAUCAGAAUCGACGGCUCAGAUUCCAAAUGGCCAGAUCAUCUUGGUGUUGAAAAUGCACCCUACUGGCGAGAUCGAGUUCAACAAAAUGAUAGCAUCCUCCUGCUCGCCGACUUAAUCGAGACCCUAAGCAAAAUACGAGCAGAGAAGAGAACCUCUCAAACUCCGUCAACCUCCUCACAGCUAGCGAAACGACCAAGAAUCGCUUCCCCAGAGAUAGUCUCGAGCCAGCAACCUUGGACAAGUAGCAAAUACUUUGACGAUAAGUACACCGAUUGGCGCUGUUCGACGACGACGACGACAGUCUGGAAACGUUUGAAAUCCGCUUCAAAUCCCCCGCCAUGGGAAGUGACGACCUCCCCCAAAUUGGUUCCAAAUCGAGGAACAUAGUGUGGUGAACCAGAUCAACCAACUGCCGGACACCGUCACACCGUUUGAAACAUCGACAACGACGGCCGGAUGGCCUUUUCCGACCACUACGUAAUGUGAUUUGAUCUAGAGCGGUUACAGCCCCAGUACCAAACGCAAUCCCAAUGUAGCCACGGGCGGUGGCGGUCGGAUGAUUCCGGGAACCAACAGCAAGAUUUACUUUGAUCUGGCAGUGUGCUCCCAACUCGAGCACUUCCAGCGCGAAGGUGGAGGUGCUAAAUCCAUGUCAUCUCAGUUGCUGAACUUUUUCAACCAGACCUACAAACGGUUCACGGGAUUCAAGCCGACGAAGAUCUCAAACUCUUUGUGUUAAAUCUUUUCAUAAUUCUUCAAUUUGCCAUUUUUUUGUAAAUAUACUACUGUUUCCGCUUUUUA
rnacentral:lncRNA from 1 species